UGAUCUCAUAAGGUGGUGUUUGGGUUGUUUAUAGGGAUAUAAGCUUUGGGUUUACUCGACUUGGUUUCUGAUAGGUCUGUGCGAUCACAGGUAGCUGGUGCCAAAGAGGCAAACAUAGCACUGUUCAACAUCUCUUAGAAGUAGUUUGGAUGGAUAGUGCGACCAAGUACUGCUGUCCAUAUUAAUUGACGAAGUACCACCAAAUCUUGUUUUCCAAAAUAAUUUAUGAAGAUCAUGCCAGCCUUAUUUUUGUUGUGGACUCUUUUUACCACAAGUACACGUAUAGCGGACGAAAGCCAAAGGAGUCCACAACGGCGCCGUCUACAAGUGGUUGAUUCGCCGCGCAACAGGAGGAGGAUUAGUUUGUUAGGAUUUGUUAUUUG
rnacentral:lncRNA from 1 species